rnacentral:lncRNA from 1 species
ACGUACAUCUUUCAACUCAGCAAUAUCUUUCUAACUCUAGGAAAUAUCAUUCAUACUUAUCUUUCCAAGAGCAAAAUGUUAUGUACUUGAAGCUAAUGAUUGCAGCACGGUUUCUAAUCAAGAAAGACUGAAAACAUCUUAAAUAACCAUAAAUAGGGGGUUAGUGGCUUCUCCAUAGAAUACGAAACCACACAAACACAAAGAAGAAUGAGGAUGCCUUCUUUGUACUGGUGUGGGGCAAGCUUGAAAAUUAAUGUUAAGUGGGAACUGCAAAAAACAGAAUAAUACAUACAGUGUGUUGCCAUUUGUGUAAGAUGAGAAGUAUAUUAAUUAUCUCAAGAAUUCUCAGAGAGUUGUUUGUUAUUCAGAAUCUUGGGUACCAUGGAAACUGAUAUCCUUGAACAGGUAGCAACUUGGGUUGUAGUUUUGGCAAAUCUACACUGAUUAGCAGCAAACGAGUUGUGCUUCUCCUGUCACUUGUGUUUAUGCACCACUCUCCUUUGUGUGUGUGUGUUUUUUUUUUCCUACAGAUGGCUGCUUUUCUUAUCAACAUUGGGCAAAUUCAACAGUGUUAAAGGAUAGAAAAAGGACUCCUGUUUUUGCCAUCAUUCCUUGGCUCGAUCUACCAACUGACUCUUUCUCAAACCAGAUGCAAAUCUCUUUGACUCCUGAUGGUAUAAACUGUGGAUCUGGAGGGAUGCUGGAAAUGGUAAACACUCCUGAGAUAUCUAGAGAAGUUGAAGCAAAUAAUGAUGACGGAGCAUCGCUUCCAGUCUAAGCAGGUCUGCAGUGCCAACUCCACCUUUGGUCAAGUUGUCAUGUCGGCAUGGACCUGUUUCUGGGUCCUAUCUUUUGUGCUGUUGUGUGGUCUCCUGAAGCCAUAAAGCGAAGAGCAGAUAUGAAUUUUGUUUUCCUUUAAUAACGCAAAAUCACUGGCACUAAGUGAAGGACCUGCAGAACUCUAUUAUACUAUUCCUUCUACUUUUGUGUAUAUUUGUUCAUUUCCGUGAUAAAGAGUUAAGUAACCGUCUUCGUAGAAUACCCAAUGCGUUGCUGUGGGACAGAUGCUUACAGGCCAUGCUGUGUGGGGCAUCCAAAUCUUGGCUUUUCUGUCUUUAUCUUUGAAACCUCCAGCUUCCCAUCCACCACCCAUUCUCCCGACUGAGACUCACCCUGG